UACGUAGGCAGCAAGCGUUGUUCGGAAUUACUGGGCGUAAAGAGUGUGUAGGCGGUGUUCUAAGUUUGUCGUGAAAUCUCCCGGCUUAACUGGGAGGGUGCGGCGAAAACUGGAAUGCUAGAGGAUGGGAGAGGUAAGCGGAAUUCCUGGUGUAGCGGUGAAAUGCGUAGAUAUCAGGAGGAACACCGGUGGCGAAGGCGGGUCUCUGGGCCGAUAUUGACGCUGAGGAGCGAAAGCGUGGGGAGCGAACAGG
rnacentral:rRNA from 1 species